rnacentral:rRNA from 1 species
AAUCAACGCUGGCGGCGUGCCUAACACAUGCAAGUCGAACGAGAAAGGGGCUUCGGCCCUGAGUAAAGUGGCGCACGGGUGAGUAACACGUGACUAACCUACCCUUGAGUGGGGAAUAACUUCGGGAAACCGAGGCUAAUACCGCAUAACACCUACGGGUCAAAGGAGCAAUUCGCUUAAGGAGGGGGUCGCGGCAGAUUAGUUAGUUGGCGGGGUAAGUGGCCCACCAAGACAGUGAUCUGUAUCCGGCCUGAGAGGGCGCACGGACACACUGGAACUGAAACACGGUCCAGACUCCUACGGGAGGCAGCAGUGGGGAAUUUUGCGCAAUGGGGGAAACCC